ACAGUGCUGGGGCUCUGACAGGUCACGAUCUGGACCUGGGUCAGGGUGAGGGGUGAGAGUGUGGUCUUGAAUCCAAUGCUUGGUGUGGAUUUCUCCCUCUCUCUCUCUCUCUCUCUCUCUCUCUCUCUCUCUCCUGGCCCCAGAACGACUGUGUCCUGAAAGUGGCCACAGGGAGUCACAUGCUAAUUCCUGUGAGGCAAGCUGCCCAUGUGAGGAGGUGCCUCUGUGCCGUGAGGACGGCAUGUGGGACACCAGCUGCCGGGUCGGCGGUGAGGCCUGCGGGUCCCCGCCUGCUCUGGCUGCCACCCCCCCCACAGGACCCAUCCUGCCCCUCGGGGCCCCGAGCUGAGCGCCCUGGGCUGUGAGCUGUGCGAUAGAGGAGGCGGCCGGCGCCGUCAGCUGUAGCCCGCAAGCUUGUCCCGAGCAUGCUGGAGCCUGGUGUGGGGUCCCAAGAGGCAGGCGUCAGGUGACCCCCAUCACAGCACCGCUGGUGGCGCUGCCGUCACCACCCAGCGGUCCUGCUGCUAUGUGCUGGGCCGCACCUGCUGAGGGGACCCCUGGGGGCGGGGGGCAGCCUCUACAGCGUGGGUGGGCAGUGAAUCCCUAAGCCCCGCAGCCAGGGUGACGGGGGGCUCGGUCGGUCGAGGUGGAUGCCGGGGGUACAGGUGGUGGGAGGGCACAGGGAAGGGCAGGGCCGGGAGCCUGGGUACAGCAGCCGCUCAGGCUCUCCCGAACCCCAGCCCCACAUCGAGCCUGCUCCCCUCCUCGCCCCCCGACGGCGGCCUGACUGCGCGGGGAGGGCUGCGGUGUGGCACGGGCUUCGGCCUCUGCGUCGCUGAACGUCGUCCCUGUCCGGUGUGGCAGCUCCCCGGGAGCCAGGGCAGGUGCCACGUGGCUGGGGGAGACCUUCCGGGCUGGGGAGCGCCGGGCGCCGUUCUGCUGUUGCCCCCCAACACCGUGAGCACCCCCCAACCUGGGCCGAAGCGUGGGGUCCCGGGGGCAUCCUUGUGCGCCACCCACUCCCUUCGGGCAUCUCGGCUCCUGCACCACCCUGAUGGCUCAAGCACCUGUGUGUCCGUCUCUGCCAGGUCCCGUGCUGCUCUGGCUCCUUGUCCCCUUUUCCAGGGUAGAAAGCGGGUGAAAAGCAACAGGUCCAGCAGCCCCAUCAGGCUCACCCCCGAACUGGAUACUAUCCGGGUUCAUGAGAACCGGGUCGGCCUCCAAGGACAGCCCAGGCGUGUUCAGCUAAGCAUGCCGCCCCGGGGGACAUUGGACGAGUUGUCCUUUCCCCUACUCAGAAAGCCUCACCUGAGAUGCCCAGAGGUGUCGUGCUGAGUCCCUGUGGUCCCCUGGGCUGCCAGCGGGACACGGGGGGCCCCGAGCCCUGCCUGGACAGGCCUCGCAUGGAGCAGCUCUGGGGAGUUCUGGCGAACGAACAGUUCCAGACCCUUCGCCAAGCGUCACUGACACGCAAGGACCCCACGGCCUACGUGCAGGCUGCGUCUUCGAUCUCCGCCUGUAGGCCUGGGCCGUGCUGGGGGCCUGUGUCCAGCUCUGCACCCUGGGGGGCAUCCACCUGCCUGAGUGGC
rnacentral:lncRNA from 12 species